GUAGGUAGAUAUUUCAGUGUAGAGAGACAGAGUAGAGUAGGUAGAUAUUUCAGUGUAGAGAGACAGAGUAGAGUAGGUAGAUAUUUCAGUGUAGAGAGACGGUAGAGAUGGGAGACAGAGUAGUGUAAUGAUAUCAUUUAGCUAAACAACAUUGCAGAUUAGAGACAGUAGAUUUCAAACUGAGUAUUGGUAAACAGUUCCAUCCAGUCAAGAGAGGAGAGACAGAGUAGAGUAAUGUAGGUGUUUAUUAAAGACAGUAGAGUAAUGUAGGUGUUUAUUAAAGACAGACAGUAGGGUAAUGUAGGUGUUUAUUAAAGACAGUAGAGUAAUGUAGGUGUUUAUUAAAGACAGACAGUAGAGUAAUGUAGGUGUUUAUUAAAGACAGUAGAGUAAUGUAGGUGUUUAUUAAAGACAGUAGAUUAAUGUAGGUGUUUAUUAAAGACAGACAGUAGAGUAAUGUAGGUGUUUAUUAAAGACAGUAGAGUAAUGUAGGUGUUUAUUAAAGACAGUAGAGUAAUGUAGGUGUUUAUUAAAUACAGACAGUAGAGUAAUGUAGGUGUUUAUUAAAGACAGUAGAGUAAUGUAGGUGUUUAUUAAAGAAAGUAGAGUAAUGUAGGCGUUUAUUAAAGACAGACAGUAGAGUAAUGUAGGUGUUUAUUAAAGACAGUAGAGUAAUGUAGGUGUUUAUUAAAGACAGUAGAGUAAUGUAGGUGUUUAUUAAAGACAGACAGUAGAGUAAUGUAGGUGUUUAUUAAAGACAGUAGAGUAAUGUAGGUGUUUAUUAAAGACAGUAGAGUAAUGUAGGUGUUUAUUAAAGACAGUAGAGUAAUGUAGGUGUUUAUUAAAGACAGACAGUAGAGUAAUGUAGGUGUUUAUUAAAGACAGUAGAGUAAUGUAGGUGUUUAUUAAAGACAGACAGUAGAGUAAUGUAGGUGUUUAUUAAAGACAGACAGUAGAGUAAUGUAGGUGUGUAUUAAAGACAGUAGAGUAAUGUAGGUGUUUAUUAAAGACAGUAGAGUAAUGUAGGUGUUUAUUAAAGACAGACAGUAGAGUAAUGUAGGUGUUUAUUAAAGACAGUAUAGUAAUGUAGGUGUUUAUUAAAGACAGACAGUAGAGUAAUGUAGGUGUUUAUUAAAGACAGUAGAGUCAUGUAGGUGUUUAUUAAAGACAGUAGAGUAAUGUAGGUGUUUAUUAAAGACAAUAGAGUAAUGUAGGUGUUUAUUAAAGACAGACAGUAGAGUAAUGUAGGUGUUUAUUAAAGACAGUAGAGUAAUGUAGGUAUUUAUUAAAGACAGUAGAGUAAUGUAGGUGUUUAUUAAAGACAGUAUAGUAAUGUAGGUGUUUAUUAAAGACAGACAGUAGAGUAAUGUAGGUGUUUAUUAAAGACAGUAGUGUAAUGUAGGUGUUUAUUAAAGACAAUAGAGUAAUGUAGGUGUUUAUUAAAGACAGACAGUAGAGUAAUGUAGGUGUUUAUUAAAGACAGUAGAGUAAUGUAGGUAUUUAUUAAAGACAGUAGAGUAAUGUAGGUGUUUAUUAAAGACAGUAUAGUAAUGUAGGUGUUUAUUAAAGACAGACAGUAGAGUAAUGUAGGUGUUUAUUAAAGACAGUAGUGUAAUGUAGGUGUUUAUUAAAGACAGUAGAGUAAUGUAGGUGUUUAUUAAAGACAGUAGAGUAAUGUAGGUGUUUAUUAAAGACAGUAGAGUAAUGUAGGUGUUUAUUAAAGACAGUAGUGUAAUGUAGGUGUUUAUUAAAGACAGUAGAGUCAUGUAGAUGUUUAUUAAAGACAGUAGAGUAAUGUAGGUGUUUAUUAAAGACAGACAGUAGAGUAAUGUAGGUGUUUAUUAAAGACAGUAGUGUAAUGUAGGUGUUUAUUAAAGACAGUAGUGUAAUGUAGGUGUUUAUUAAAGACAGUAGUGUAAUGUAGGUGUUUAUUAAAGACAGUAGAGUAAUGUAGGUGUUUAUUAAAGACAGUAGUGUAAUGUAGGUGUGUAUUAAAGACAGUGUAGUGUAAUGUAGGUGUGUAUUAAAGACAGACAGUAGAGUAAUGUAGGUGUGUAUUAAAGACAGUGUAGUGCAAUGUAGGUGUGUAUUAAAGACAGUGUAGAGUAAUGUAGGUGUUUAUUAAAGACAGUGUAGUAAUGUAGGUGUGUAUUAAAGACAGACAGUAAAGUAAUGUAGGUGUUUAUUAAAGACAGUGUAGUGUAAUGUAGGUGUUUAUUAAAGACAGUGUAGUAAUGUAGGUGUUUAUUAAAGACAGUAGAGUAAUGUAGGUGUUUAUAAAAGACAGUGUAGUAAUGUAGGUGUGUAUUAAAGACAGUAGAGUAAUGUAGGUGUUUAUUAAAGACAGUGUAGUGUAAUGUAGGUGUGUAUUAAAGACAGUGUAGUGUAAUGUAGGUGUGUAUUAAAGACAGUAGAGUAAUGUAGGUGUUUAUUAAAGACAGUGUAGUAAUGUAGGUGUGUAUUAAAGACAGUAGAGUAAUGUAGGUGUGUAUUAAAGACAGUGUAGUGUAAUGUAGGUGUUUAUUAAAGACAGUAGAGUAAUGUAGGUGUUUAUUAAAGACAGUAGAGUAAUGU